GACGUAGGAUGCGAGCGUUGUCCGGAUUUAUUGGGCGUAAAGAGUUCGUAGGUGGUUUGUUAAGUCUGAUGUUAAAGACUGGGGCUCAACCUCGGAAGUGCAUUGGAUACUGGCAGACUCGAGUGCAGUAGAGGCAAGCGGAAUUCCAGGUGUAGCGGUGAAAUGCGUAGAUAUCAAGAAGAACACCGGUGGCGAAGGCGGCUCUCUGGAAUGCAACUGACACUGAGGCACGAAAGCUGGGGAAGCAAACAGG
rnacentral:rRNA from 1 species